UACAGAGGGGGCAAGCGUUGUUCGGAAUUACUGGGCGUAAAGGGCGCGUAGGCGGCCCGCUAAGUCGAACGUGAAAUCCCCGAGCUCAACUCGGGAACUGCGUCCGAUACUGGUGGGCUUGAAUCCGGGAGAGGGAUGCGGAAUUCCAGGUGUAGCGGUGAAAUGCGUAGAUAUCUGGAGGAACACCGGUGGCGAAGGCGGCAUCCUGGACCGGCAUUGACGCUGAGGUGCGAAAGCGUGGGGAGCAAACAGG
rnacentral:rRNA from 1 species